rnacentral:rRNA from 1 species
AUUGAACGCUGGCGGCAGGCCUAACACAUGCAAGUCGAACGAGUGGCGGACGGGUGAGUAAUGUCUGGGAAACUGCCUGAUGGAGGGGGAUAACUACUGGAAACGGUAGCUAAUACCGCAUACCAUCAGAUGUGCCCAGAUGGGAUUAGCUUGUGGGUGGGGUACAGGCUCACCAAGGCGAAGAUCCCUACCUGGUCUGAGAGGAUGACCAGCCACACUGGAACUGAGACACGGUCCAGACUCCUACGGGAGGCAGCAGUGGGGAAUAUUGCACAAUGGGCGCAAGCCUGAUGCAGCCAUGCCGCGUGUAUGAAGAAGGCCUUCGGGUUGUAAAGUACUUUCAGCGGGGAGGCUUUUCCCCCCCCUGAAGCACCGGCUAACUCCGUGCCAGCAGCCGCGGUAAUUC